rnacentral:rRNA from 1 species
CAGUCAUGCUAGUGAAGAAUCAACUUGAUGGUGUGUGGGUUCGCUGCAUACUUUCCGGUGCACUUCCUCACUCGGCAGGUUAGCAUCAAUUUCGGUUAUCAAUAAAAAAUUUGAGGGAAUGUGACUUUUCUCGGAAAAGUGUUAUAGACCUUUGUU